rnacentral:rRNA from 1 species
ACGCACCUACGGGGGGCAGCAGUGGGGAAUAUUGGGCAAUGGAGGCAACUCUUACCCAGCAAUGCCGCGUGAAUGAAGAAGGUCUUCGGAUUGUAAAGUUCUUUAAUUGGGGACGAAAAAAAUGACGGUACCCAAGGAAUAAGCCCCGGCUAACUACGUGCCAGCAGCCGCGGUAAUACGUAGGGAGCAAGCGUUAUCCGGAUUUAUUGGGUGUAAAGGGUGCGUAGACGGGAAAUUAAGUUAGUUGUGAAAUCCCUCGGCUCAACUGAGGAACUGCAACUAAAACUGGUUUUCUUGAGUGUUGG